GCUCUCCGGCGAGGUUCGUGUUUUGGUGAUUUGGCUCCAAUCAACUUGUAGAGAAAAGAAUGGUGAUCACAGUGAUAUAAAAAUUGUAUCAAACGGAGGCUGGGAAGGGCCUCAUCGGAGGCAAAAAUUGAGGAGGGGCGCGGCGGCGCCGCUGGGUUUCGGUCGUGUUUUCCGGCUGUUUGGCCGGGAGUUUGGCUCCGAUUU
rnacentral:lncRNA from 1 species